rnacentral:rRNA from 2 species
CCUACGGGGGGCUGCAGUGAGGAAUAUUGGGCAAUGGGCGAAAGCCUGACCCAGCAACGCCGCGUGAGGGAAGAAGGUUCUCGGAUUGUAAACCUCUGUCCCAUGGGACGAAAAAAAUGACGGUACCAUGGGAGGAAGCCCCGGCUAACUACGUGCCAGCAGCCGCGGUAAUACGUAGGGGGCGAGCGUUGUCCGGAAUUAUUGGGCGUAAAGGGUGCGUAGGCGGCCUUUCAAGUUGGAUGUGAAAUCCCCGUGCUUAACAUGGGAAUUGCAUUCAAAACUGGAGGGCUUGAGUGUGGAAGAGGUAAGUGGAAUUCCCAGUGUAGCGGUGAAAUGCGUAGAUAUUGGGAGGAACACCAGUGGCGAAGGCGACUUACUGGGCCACAACUGACGCUGAUGCACGAAAGCGUGGGGAGCAAACAGGAUUAGAUACCCCAGUAGUC